UCCCUCGAAGAUGACGAGGUUAAUAGGUUCGAGGUGGAAGCGUGGUGACACGUGGAGCUGACGAAUACUAAUCGAUCGAAGACUUAAUCAA
rnacentral:rRNA from 1 species